GGAUUCUCUGGCUGCAGCCCAUGAAAACUACAUUCGCAAAUUCACUGUUCAGUAUGAACAUGGAACCGCCUGGGCUAAAUUUGUUUUAGCUAUUUGCAUAGUAUAGAUUUGAGAAGGCCGGAAGAAGUUUUUUAGAUGUCGUUCAAACUCUGUUUUAGCUAUUUUGAUGCUGUUUGAUGAGAAUGGGGCCAGAAGUAGGGUUGUGAAGCUCAAGGAUACAGUUUUUCAAUCCUUCUAAUAGCUUUGCUUUUUAGCAUAAACUUUUUGAGUAAUGUUGCCUUUGCGUCUUUUGAUUAAUAGCUUAUUUCAGUCUUAGAAAGGCUAUUCAAUGUAGUUAGGUUGUUGCAGACAAAUACUGAAAACUACUAAAUGAAAACCAGAAAACGUUAUAACCAUAAAAUUCUUAAUAUGCCUAUGCGAUGUUGCUCAUCAGAAAUAAAAGAGAAAAAAAAAAAGGAAAAGAAGAAGAAAUUAGAGUUGAAUUGCCUAGAAUUAUAAGGUUAUUUCGUUGGUUAAUUCUUCUGUAACUAAUGGGUGUUGAUGCUCAUGUAGUUGCAGAGCUGGAGCCAAUUUGAUCGACAAAAAAAUUAAAUUCAUUAAUGUUCAGUACUUAACUAAAAUGCUUGAAGAUAUUAGGUUGAGUGAUUGAUUGUUGUGUUGAAAUGCAUCAGCUUGUUGAUAGGAUUACUUAAUUACAUUCAUCAAUAUAGUGGCUCUUGCUAUUGCAAUGAAUUGUUG
rnacentral:misc_RNA from 1 species